AGAAUCUUUCGCAAUGCCCGAAAGGGUGACGAAGCGACGCCGCGUGCGGGAAGAAGGCCUUCGGGUUGUAAACCACUGUCGGGAGUUAAGAAGUGUAAGGGUGUUAAGAGCAUCCUUACUUGACGUUAGCUCCGGAGGAAGCCACGGCUAACUCUGCGCCAGCAGCCGCGGUAAUACAGAGGUGGCAAGCGUUGUUCGGAAUUAUUGGGCGUAAAGAGCACGCAGGCGGCCCUGCAAGUCAGCUGUGAAAUCCUUCUGCUCAACGGAAGAACGGCAGUUGAUACUACAGGGCUAGAGUGCGGGAGGGGAGAGUGGAACUUCUGGUGGAGCGGUGAAAUGCGUAGAUAUCAGAAGGAACAUCGGCGGCGAAAGCGACUCUCUGGUCCGUAACCGACGCUGAGGUGCGAAAGCUAGGGGAGCAAACGGGAUUAGAUACCCCGGUAGUCCUAGCCGUAAACGAUGGGCACUCGGUAGAGGGGUUUUGAUUAUCUCUCUGCCUGAGCUAACGCGUUAAGUGCCCCGCCUGGGGAGUACGGCCGCAAGGCCAAAACUCAAAAGAAUUGACGGGGGCUCGCACAAGCGGUGGAGCAUGUGGCUUAAUUCGAUGCAACACGAAGAACCUUACCGGGGCUUGACAUGGUGGAAGUAGGAGCCCGAAAGGGUAACGAACGGUAUCCAGUCCGUCACUAUUACAGGUGUUGCAUGGCUG
rnacentral:rRNA from 1 species